rnacentral:lncRNA from 1 species
CUAACACUUUCACUUUUUCACUUUUAUGUAAUUAAUUAAAGCUGCAUAGGGCCUUCUUGUCUUAUUUUGUUAUUCCUUCCUCUUCACAGGAAGUUUCACCAAUUGAAAGAGAAACCCUUGUGUGGCCAUUCAUGUUUUGUACUGGUUUGGAACAUAGAGAAAGAUGGAAGUGUUUGAUGAAAUUGGGCAGAGAAAUCCUGACUGAGGAAGUUGGAGGACUACCAGGUCUUUGAGGACACGGAGCGCAUUGUACAUCCUGGCUUUGCUGUAACCAACGAAUAAACUCAAAGCAAAACAGAAGUUCAGAGUUUCUCAGGACAGCCACUGUUUGGUCUUUGGAAAAUACAUCACACAUUCACCUGCUCAGAAUGAAAACAACCCAUACAUUCCACAGUGAAGAAAGAAUGUCAAGAGAAGCAUCGUCAGAGCUUUUGGAUAUUUCUUACCAUAUGAGGAGUUAAGUAGAGUCGAGUGAAUGUGGAAGCCUUCAUGAAAUUCAUGUAUUUUGUUAAUAUAAUUGAAAUUGUUUUAUGAUUUGGGAACUUACUGAUAAAGCUUUGUAAAACUACAGAUAAUAAACUAUAUUUAGUUACAUAUUGAAUAAGUCA